rnacentral:rRNA from 1 species
UACGGGGGGGGCAAGCGUUGUUCGGAAUUACUGGGCGUAAAGGGCUCGUAGGCGGCCAACUAAGUCGGACGUGAAAGCCCUCGGCUUAACCGAGGAACUGCGUCCGAUACUGGAUGGCUUGAGGUUGGGAGAGGGAUGCGGAAUUCCAGGUGUAGCGGUGAAAUGCGUAGAGUAUCUGGAGGAACACCGGUGGCGAAGGCGG